rnacentral:rRNA from 1 species
GCACGAAAGGCGUAACGAUUUGGGCACUGUCUCAACGAGAGACUCGGUGAAAUCAUAGUACCUGUGAAGAUGCAGGUUACCCGCGACAGGACGGAAAGACCCCGUGGAGCUUUACUGUAGCCUGAUAUUGAAAUUCGGCACAGCUUGUACAGGAUAGGUAGGAGCCUUUGAAACGUGAGCGCUAGCUUACGUGGAGGCGCUGGUGGGAUACUACCCUAGCUGUGUUGGCUUUCUAACCCGCACCACUUAUCGUGGUGGGAGACAGUGUCAGGCGGGCAGUUUGACUGGGGCGGUCGCCUCCUAAAAGGUAACGGAGGCGCUCAAAGGUUCCCUCAGAAUGGUUGGAAAUCAUUCAUAGAGUGUAAAGGCAUAAGGGAGCUUGACUGCGAGACCUACAAGUCGAGCAGGGUCGAAAGACGGACUUAGUGAUCCGGUGGUUCCGCAUGGAAGGGCCAUCGCUCAACGGAUAAAAGCUACCCCGGGGAUAACAGGCUUAUCUCCCCCAAGAGUUCACAUCGACGGGGAGGUUUGGCACCUCGAUGUCGGCUCAUCGCAUCCUGGGGCUGUAGUCGGUCCCAAGGGUUGGGCUGUUCGCCCAUUAAAGCGGUACGCGAGCUGGGUUCAGAACGUCGUGAGACAGUUCGGUCCCUAUCCGUCGUGGGCGUAGGAAAUUUGAGAGGAGCUGUCCUUAGUACGAGAGGACCGGGAUGGACAUACCUCUGGUGUACCAGUUGUCGUGCCAACGGCAUAGCUGGGUAGCUAUGUGUGGACGGGAUAAGUGCUGAAAGCAUCUAAGCAUGAAGCCCCCCUCAAGAUGAGAUUUCCCAACUUCGGUUAUAAGAUCCCUCAAAGAUGAUGAGGUUAAUAGGUUCGAGGUGGAAGCAUGGUGACAUGUGGAGCUGACGAAUACUAAUCGAUCGAAGACUUAAUCAAAA